rnacentral:rRNA from 1 species
AGCUCCAAUAGCGUAUAUUAAAGUUGUUGCGGUUAAAAGCUCGUAGUUGGAUUUCUGUCGAGGGCGGCCGGUCCGCACUUAGUGCGUGUAUCUGGUUCGGUCUUGGCAUCCUCUUGGGGAACGUUUCUGUGCUUCGUUGCAUGGGACGGGAUUCAAGACUUUUACUUUGAGGAAAUUAGAGUGUUCACGGCAAGCUUUCGCUUUGAAUACAUUAGCAUGGAAUAAUAAUAUAGGGCGUAAGUUCUAUUUUGUUGGUUUCUUAGGACAUACGCAAUGAUUAAUAGGGACAAUUGGGGGCAUUCGUAUUAACACGUCAGAGGUGGAAUUCUUAGAUUGUGUUACGACGAACUACUGCGAAAGCAUUUGCCAAGGAUGUUUUCA